UAGGGAAUCUUCCGCAAUGGACGCAAGUCUGACGGAGCAACGCCGCGUGAGUGAAGAAGGAUUUCGGUUCGUAAAACUCUGUUGUUAGAGAAGAACAGCGCAUAGAGUAACUGUUAUGCGUGUGACGGUAUCUAACCAGAAAGCCACGGCUAACUACGUGCCAGCAGCCGCGGUAAUACGUAGGUGGCAAGCGUUGUCCGGAUUUAUUGGGCGUAAAGCGAGCGCAGGCGGUCAAUUAAGUCUGAUGUGAAAGCCCCCGGCUCAACCGGGGAGGGUCAUUGGAAACUGGUUGACUUGAGUGCAGAAGGGGAGAGUGGAAUUCCAUGUGUAGCGGUGAAAUGCGUAGAUAUAUGGAGGAACACCAGUGGCGAAGGCGACUCUCUGGUCUGUAACUGACGCUGAGGCUCGAAAGCGUGGGUAGCAAACAGG
rnacentral:rRNA from 1 species